rnacentral:misc_RNA from 1 species
GAUGAAGAACGCAGCGAAAUGCGAUACUUGGUGUGAAUUGCAGAAUCCCGUGAACCAUCGAGUCUUUGAACGCAAGUUGCGCCCGAAGCCAUUAGGCCGAGGGCACGCCUGCCUGGGCGUCACACGUCGUUGCCCCCCCAUCUACUCCUUCGGGAUUGCGGGGGGCGGAUGAUGGCCUCCCGUGCGCCUCGCCGCGCGGUUGGCAUAAAUGCCAAGUCCUCGGCGACGCACGCCACGACAAUCGGUGGUUGCGAAACCUCGGUUGCCCGUCGUGUGCGGUCGUCGCGCAUCGAGGGCUCGAAAAAAUUGCCGGGUUCCGGCUCGGCUUUCAACGCGACCCCAGGUCAGGCGGGGUUACCCGCUGAAUUUAAGAAUAUCAAUAAGCGGAGGA